UCAGUGAAGGAAACAAUCAGCAAAACGAAAAAGCAACCUUCGGAAUGGGAUAAGAUACUUGCAAAUGAUCUAUCAGAUAAAUAUAGUAUCCAAAAUCUAUAAAGAACUUGUCAAAGUCAACACCCAA